GAACGCACAUUGCGCCCCUUGGUAUUCCAUGGGGCAUGCCUGUUCGAGCGUCAUCUACACCCUCAAGCUCUGCUUGGUGUUGGGCGUCUGUCCCGCCUCUGCGCGUGGACUCGCCCCAAAUUCAUUGGCAGCGGCUCUUGCCUCCUCUCGCGCAGCACAUUGCGCUUCUCGAGGGGGCUCGGGAGCCGCGACCCACGAAGCUCAAUUUACCGUCUUUGACCUCGGAUCAGGUAGGGAUACCCGCUGAACUUAA
rnacentral:misc_RNA from 1 species